UCUCCUACGGGACGCAGCAGUGGGGAAUAUUGGGCAAUGAGCGCAAGCCUUACCCAGCAAUACCGCGUGAGUGAAGAAGGUCUUCGGAUUGUAAAGCUCUUUGAUCAGGGACGAACAGAUGACGGUACCUGAAGAACAAGCCCCGGCUAACUACGUGCCAGCAGCCGCGGUAAUACGUAGGGGGCAAGCGUUAUCCGGAAUUAUUGGGCGUAAAGAGUACGUAGGUGGCAACCUAAGCGCAGGGUUUAAGGCAAUGGCUCAACCAUUGUUCGCCCUGCGAACUGGGAUGCUUGAGUGCAGGAGAG
rnacentral:rRNA from 1 species